UGGAAAGGCUGUCAAGCUUAGUAGGGCUGCUAACUUUACUAUAAGAGUAUGAAGGUUUCUCUUCUUUUCAU
rnacentral:tRNA from 1 species